rnacentral:misc_RNA from 1 species
UUUCCGUAGGUGAACCUGCGGAAGGAUCAUUAAAAAAUGUGGUACCAAUUAUUGGUACUAAUUAAUCAUCCUACCCUUUGUGAAUUUGUUUGUAUGAAUUUUUUUAAAUGGGUCUUUCCCUAAGUUGGAUUGUUAGUAAAAUACAAAAAGACUUAGGGGAAUGACUUUUUUAAAAGACUUUUUUUUAAUUAAAACUUUUUGUAUUCAUUUGUCUAAAAUUUAUUUUUAUAAUAUAAAAACAACUUUUGACAAUGGAUCUCUUGGUUCUCGCAACGAUGAAGAACGCAGCAAAAUGCGAUAAGUAGUGUGAAUUGCAGAAUACGUGAAUCAUCGAAUCUUCGAACGCAUAUUGCACUUUUUUAGUUUACUAAAGAAGUAUGUCUGUUUGAGUAUCAGUAAAAUAUUCUCACAAACAUAUAUUGUUUGUGGUUAUGAGUGUUUUACAACGAUAAACAAGUUGUUUCACUUUAAAUUCUUUUAUUGAAUUUUAUACCAAUUCAUAAAUUAAAAUUGGAUAAAAUUUUCCUUUAACGAGGAAUAACCUAAACAAUUUUAAAUUUUAUGGUUCAUAAAUCCAUGAAGGAAUCUAAUAACAUAAAUAACUUGAUCUCAAAUCAGAUAAGAGUACCCGCUGAACUUAAGCAUAUCAAUAAGCGGAGGAAAAGAAACUAACAAGGAUUCCCUUAGUAACGGCGAGUGAAGCGGGAAGAGCUCAAAUUUGAAAUCUUCAAGGUUUGACCUUGACGAAUUGUAGUUUAUAGAAGUGUUUUCUGUUGGAGUUUUGGUAAAAGUUCUUUGGAGUAGGACAUCAUAGAGGGUGAGAAUCCCGUAUUUGACCAUGACUUUCCAGCUGUGUGAUACACUUUCAAAGAGUCGGAUUGUUUGGGAAUGCAGUCCAAAAUGGGUGGUAAAUUUCAUCUAAAGCUAAAUAUUGGCGAGAGACCGAUAGCGAACAAGUACCGUGAGGGAAAGAUGAAAAGAACUUUGAAAAGAGAGUUAAACAGUACGUGAAAUUGUCAAAAGGGAAGCGUUUGACACCAGUGUUGUUUUCUCGAAAAUCAAUUUAAUGAGUUCUUGUUUUUAAGUUAUUGUGACUUUAUCAGCGCAUUUCUUAUUUUACUUGACUCAUUGAAUGCACUUUUCGUUUAACAAGUCAACAUCAAUUUCUUUGGUGGUAAAAAGUUUAAAGGAAGGUGGCUUGGACUUCGGUUCAAGUGUUUAUAGCCUUUUUUCUAUGCCAUCGGAGAGAUUGAGGUCUGCAGCGUAGAUCCUUCGGGGUUAGAUACCUUUGUGCUAAGUUAUAGUUUUUUAUAGACAACUUGUUGACUAUAAUUAACCCUGUAAUUUACUCGCUUAGGCUAUUUUACCUACGCUUAGGAUGUUG